rnacentral:rRNA from 1 species
GCGUGCUUAACACAUGCAAGUCGAACGGAAAGGCCCUUCGGGGUGCUCGAGUGGCGAACGGGUGAGUAACACGUGGGUGAUCUGCCCUGCACUUCGGGAUAAGCCUGGGAAACUGGGUCUAAUACCGGAUAGGACCGCGCUCUUCAUGGGGUGUGGUGGAAAGCUUUUGCGGUGUGGGAUGGGCCCGCGGCCUAUCAGCUUGUUGGUGGGGUAAUGGCCUACCAAGGCGUCGACGGGUAGCCGGCCUGAGAGGGUGUCCGGCCACACUGGGACUGAGAUACGGCCCAGACUCCUACGGGAGGCAGCAGUGGGGAAUAUUGCACAAUGGGCGCAAGCCUGAUGCAGCGACGCCGCGUGGGGGAUGACGGCCUUCGGGUUGUAAACCUCUUUCAGCACAGACGAAGCGCAAGUGACGGUAUGUGCAGAAGAAGCACCGGCCAACUACGUGCCAGCAGCCGCGGUAAUACGUAGGGUGCGAGCGUUGUCCGGAAUUACUGGGCGUAAAGAGCUUGUAGGUGGUUUGUCGCGUUGUUCGUGAAAUCUCACGGCUUAACUGUGAGCGUGCGGGCGAUACGGGCAGACUAGAGUACUGCAGGGGAGACUGGAAUUCCUGGUGUAGCGGUGGAAUGCGCAGAUAUCAGGAGGAACACCGGUGGCGAAGGCGGGUCUCUGGGCAGUAACUGACGCUGAGAAGCGAAAGCGUGGGGAGCGAACAGGAUUAGAUACCCUGGUAGUCCACGCCGUAAACGGUGGGUACUAGGUGUGGGUUUCCUUCCUUGGGAUCCGUGCCGUAGCUAACG